GGGCCCGUAGCUCAGAGGAUAGAGCACCUGCCUUCUAAGCUGGUGGUCGCUGGUUCGAAUCCAGCCGGGCUCGCCA
rnacentral:tRNA from 1 species